GACGAACGCUGGCGGCGUGCCUAAUACAUGCAAGUCGAACGAAGAGGGGACGGGUGAGUAACACGUGGAUAACCUCCUAUAAGACUGGGAUAACUUCGGGAAACCGGAGCUAAACCGGAUACUUAAAGAUGGAUCCGCGCUGCAUUAGCUAGUUGGUAAGGUAACGGCGUACCAAGGCAACGAUGCAUAGCCGACCUGAGAGGGGGAUCGGCCACACUGGAACUGAUACACGGUCCAGACUCCUACGGGAGGCAGCAGUAGGGAAUCUUCGGCAAUGGACGAAAGUCUGACCGAGCAACGCCGCGGGAGUGAUGACGGCCUUCGGGUUGUAAAGCUCUGUUAAUCGGGACGCGGUACCGGAAUAGAAAGCCACGGCUAACUACGUGCCAGCAGCCGCGGUAAUUC
rnacentral:rRNA from 1 species